UUCCGAACUCCAACCGCUGCUGCUUAGGUGGAGUGGGUGUGUGCCAUAGACUGUAUAUACUACGGACAUCUUGGUUCCGCCUACCGCCUGUAUACGGAGUUGAAGCACAGACUGUAUAUAAGAUGGACGCCGUGGUUCCGCCUUCCGCCUGCAUACGGAUUUGAAGUCAAAAAGCUCUCGGUAAUUCUGGGUUCCUUGCAAUCAGAGCUGCGCAGUAGCGUUGUACGCAGACGUUUUGGCUGGGCGGGAGACUCGGCGCGAUGACGCUCCGCUCAAAAAGUGCCCCCCCAAUGUCCUUCCAGCCUUUCAUCGGUAACGCUAAUAGCUUCCCCGCUCGUCGCGACCAAGAAUAAGUAAGUUCCACUUCUCCUGAUAUAAUGUGAAAUUUGUGAGCGUACUAACUUUGAAGAACAUGAAAUACCAUCAUAACUAAUACGAAUAAAGAUAUCAUCUAUUACUUGAUUGGCAAGUAAGUCGUCUCUCUUUGUUGAAAGAAACUGUGUAAAUGUAAGCUAAAGUAGCAUUGCAAUUUAACACUAGCCUUGGUAAAUUAAACAGCAAAAUACGUGAUAUUUUUAGUUUAUCAGUUGUUAAGAUAUAUGCUAUUGUCCUGUGAUUAAAAAUGAACAAAAUUCUGAAUGAACAGCAAAUAUUUAUGUUGUUCUCCUUUUUUUUUGACAGAGAGAGAAGAAGCUUCAAAGAUGAGCACGACAACAUCAGCCACUGUGACCAGACGUAAGGAUAAAAAUUCAUUGAGAUGGAUGCUGAUUUAGUUGGUUAUGAUUUUAGUGAGACUUUUAUUAGGUAAUGUUAUAUAUAGUUUUUUUUUUGUGACGUAACAACAGCAAGCUCAAGUUUUCAAUUCCAAAUUAUAUCUACUGUAAAAAAUAUUAAAUAGCUUGUGAUUCAGCAUGAUGUGGAAUCAUGCUGAAUCACAAGCCAUGCAAGGUUUUGUAGGAAAAUAACUUUUUUUUCUUUUAUUGUUCAAUACAUUUACAGAACCACAUAUAUUCAUCAUCGGGGACAGCUACAUUCGUCGUGGGGAAACGAGAGCGAGGCAGACCAUCGGGACCGACCUUGGUCUGGAUGCCCGUGUCCUGUGGUUUGGAGGAACUUCCUCUCUUUUUUUCAUCAGUGCUGUCGGGGAAGAGCUGUGCCAGACGUCCUUUUGAUCCAUUGUGGCGGGAAUGACCUGGGGGUCACCAAGACCAUCAAGCUUGUGGCGGGAAUCAAGCAGGACCUCCAGGAUCUCCAUCUGCAGUUCCCCACCAUGAGGAUCAUCUUCUCUGCCAUCACCCAGAGGAGCCGAUGGAGAUACAGCCCCAAGAAAAUGGACAAAGCCAGGCGCUAUGUGAACAGUGUGAUGGCUACUUUUGUUUCAUCUGUUGGCGGAAGCAUUGUGCAUCAUCCUCAAAUAAAGCACAGAGAUCCUGGCCUUUUUUUAAACGAUGGAGUUCAUUUCACCACUUUGGGUAAUGACAUUUUUUUAAAUAAUAUUGCCUUGUGUUUGAAAGACCAAAUCUAGUAGGGUGGUGCUAGAUUUGGGAUUUCACCUACAAUAGGCAGCAAAAAAUGGUCAGGAUUUAUCUGCUUUAUUUGUGAUUGAUGUGCACAUUUUGUUUAAUUGUUUACUCGAGCACAAUUUUGUGAAUUUUUUUUACAAAGGUAACCAUCACACUGUUCAAUUCUGUCACAGCUCUUCUUCCUCCUUCUCUCUCUCUCUCUCUCCUACAAACUUUCUGCCGUACCCCAGCCAUUCCACCCGAUGGUCUUCCUCAAGGCGUUUUCCCCACGACGAAUGUAGCUGGGGAUGUUUUUUAUUGUUAGAAAAAUUAAAUUAAUGUUGAAACUUCACAUGCUUCUCUGUGAUUUGUUGUACCAUGAUAAAGUUUUCUGAUUUACAGCACAGAUGAAAAAACACAGUAUAUGCUUUAUUAUUCCAGAGUAUUUGUCUCAAAAUUUUAUUUUUCAUGUAAAGCUAUCAAAAGAAAAAAACAUACCACAACGAAGUCAAUGCAUUUCUUAUGUACUCAUCAUCAAGUGAUUAACAAGAAAAGAGCUUAACAUCAGUCCUAGUAUUCUUGCUUCUGGUGCAAUGGUCAGAUAAGACAAUUCAAAAAGGCUGUAAAGGACUCACACACAGAAAGAUGGAAAAGACAAAUGUCUCAAAAAAGUUGGAUCCAUUUUAUUCCUAGCAAUAAAAUGGAUCCAACUUUUCAAGACAUUUGUCUUUUCCAUCUUUCUGUGUGCGAGUCCUCACCAUGAAGUGGACAAAGUGUGGUAAAACUGAAAAAACAAACUGACAAUAUGUGUAGUGAACAGCAUGUAAUUAAUGUAAAUCAGAUAGCAUGACAUGGACACUUGUGAGAGGACACUAGCAUUUUAGUAUUUAUUUGUGAUUUAUAAAUACUUAACUCCUUUGCAGAAAACCUGUAUGUUUGUUAUUUUACCAGGAACUUAAAAAGAUAUAAUCUAGUACUUUGGGAGUUGCAUUGGGUGGAAAGGAAACAGGCUGCAGCAGAUGAAUCCACCAUAUCAUCAGUGGUUGGUGAUGAAGUCUGAAAAACACAAAUAAAAUUCAUCAAUUAAAUUGUGAAUACCAGUACUUAAAUUCAUUAAGACACUUGUGUCUCAAACCAGGUGGUAGCUCAGCAUGAAAACUUGAGAGGUUUUGAUAUACUUGUCCAAUUAUUUAAAAGGUUUCAUUUAGUUAGCAUUCUUAGAGACUACUACUUGGCUAGUGCUGUUACCUUUAUCUAACAGGGCACAUUUGGUCUAAGCAUAAGAAGUUGUUCAUGUGGUAUCACUCAAAUUUUUUUUGCAACAUGAUUCCUGUUUUUUUUACUCCAGGCUGCGCCAACUUAAACUGAAAAUGACUGAUGACACUAACUAAUAAUGACCAGUAGAUGGUAGCAGACACUACAACUACAUGCAAAUACCUAAAUUUAAUGACAUUUUAAUCUCACUCUUUUCUCAUUUCUGUCUUGACUUCACAAUCUAUUUCCUUACUGUUAAAAUACUUUUGUUCUGAUCUUGUUUCUGAUGUGGCUUUAAUACAUGUAACACAGAAGGCCCAUCUUAGUUGAAAGCCCACUCACCACGACACACCCUAACCACAAUCUUUUCAGUGGCCUGACUUUUCUUUUUCAGAGUUUUAGGAGACUUCAGAUGGUAGCUGUGAUCCUCUCCAAUGGGGACAAGUGCUGCAUUCAUUGGUGCUGAUGCUGAAUAACUGUGGUCUUCCCUAAAUGCAUUCACUGUUACAGCAGUGUCAGCCUGACAGAUGCCAAUGCUUAAUGGGUCAUUCCCAUUUGCAUUUUCAGUCAAAGUGGCAUUGCUGUAAUCGGCAGCAGAUGGAAAGCUAAUGUUGCCUUGGUCUACGUGUGACUCUUGUAUGCUGACCUGAGAAACCUUGGCUGAUUUAAGUGACGGCUGCCUUACCUCUGUGUCACUACCUCCCAAAAUCCUGCGUUUCACACCUAACACAGAGGACCUUACCUGGUGAUCUGGAAACACAGUUGGAACAGCUGUCAUCUUGAGGCAACGCUUACCCUAGAGAAAAACAUAAAAACAGCAGUAAUUUAAAAUGGAACCACGAUAGUUGUAGUGUUCAGCUGUUGGGAAUGUUUAAAUAACCGCCAUUUUAUGAUUCAAAGUGUUAGUCAAUUUAACAAUAAAUUGUUGCAAAUGUGAACUUCAUAAAAAUUGCUGUCCAUUAUAAAAGAAAUAAUUUAACCUUUGAGUCCACAGUAAAGGCAUGCUCUUCAAAAUGAGCACUGCAAAGACGUGAUGAUCCUGUUGGUUUCCAGUCCUGCCGUCUUGUGUUCACCAGCCACUGCUUCAGCCUUGCUUUGUCACCUAAAGGGAAACUUUACAAAAAUACAAAAACAUUGCUUACUGCCAUUUGUCAAGUUUGUAAACAACACAAAGUUAAUGUUUUGCGUUCGGUUUAAUUCUUGCUUUGUUGCGUAACAGGCUGAAGCCAAAACUCUAAAUUCAAAGACAAUCACAAAAAAUACCUCAAGUGAAUGAAUAUACAAACUGUAUAUAUAUUCUAAAUCAUUUCAUCUUGUGGGUGAUAUGUCUUAUGAACAUCCUAUUAAAAUUGAGGGAUUUCUUUGCAUGUAACAAAAAUUUUAAUGUCAUUGUGAUUGAUUAAGUAUGUCAUAUGCAGCUGUCUUUCCAUAACUAAUUACAUUACUCAUAGUUUUAUCUCGAUCUCAUAAGUAACAGGGCUAUCUAUCUAUCUUGAAAACUUAAAUAAGACAUGAUCUACCAUGCUGCUGUAAAUGAUAAUUGUCAUUCCACAGAAGUAUACUUAUGACUUAUGUAUGUUAUUUGAUAACAUAAAAUAAAUAACAGUUAUGCAACUUGUAUUAGUAAUUUUUUGAGCAUGUCCUUCUAUACACUUAUAGGGUCUCAUUUUCUCGACGUUUUGUCCCAUUAAAGACAGUUUCAGAGGUUUAUCUUAGACAAAUAUCGUUAUGUCACCAGAAGCUGUAAUACUACUGCCGCUGUACGGAGGAGACUGAACCGGCGGUCAAUCUUCUACCAGAAAGCUAGGACGGUGCAUCCGAAAGAUGCAUUUUAAUUAAACCAUACCUGAUUUUAGCGCAGGCUGCUCUCGUUGUUACAUACCCGAGUAAAACUGGUUGAUCCAUUACCAAAACUUCGACUCAUAACAUCAUGACUCUCAUUAUAUUCAUUUACAUGGCCUUGUUCUCAUAAAGUGAUGCAAUAUUAGGGGAAUGACUUAAAUGCGAAUUAAUUCCUUUAACAUUAUGACUUCAUGCCUCGAGUUUUCAUUUCAUGCCCUGAUACUCUGUGGUAGUAUUUGGUUGCUAGUAUGAAUCUGUGUGAUCGGUACGGUUUUUAAUUCAAAUUCAAAGUCACGUAGUCAUAAUAUUGUUAUUAAAAGAAGGCGGAUUUAAAGGGGUUUCCUCAUUGUUUAACUUCUCAUAAAAACGCUUAAAUAAGGCACAGAACUUACCGCUUGGUAUCUGUAAGUAAACCCCAUUAGCUAAAUUAAACCAGACCGGUAAAUGUUAUGUAGCUAGCAAGCUGAUGACUUCAUAAAAAAAAACAUAACUUACCGAAACAACUGCAAAGAUCCCGAUUUCACAUGUCGGUUAACACAGUUUACUGCAGAACAACUCAUUUUUCCAAUGCAAUAAAAGAGAAAAACGAUGGAAAAAUGUAAUCCUCUUCUCCACUAGCAAACCCGAUCGGUCUUGACGAACGAAAAAGAGCGACGCACAAGCAGCAAGUGCAAAAUGUAGAGAAUGACGCAAUUUCCUGUUUUUAUAACUCCUAAUAACUUUUUAAAAUGGAGCUGCAGAGAGAAAAAAAGACCUGAACACAAACCAGUCUAAUAAUAACUACAUGUCAACAUCGCAGUCGGGGGUGAGAAAAGUGUAUUUUCUGUGAAAUUAAUUUCU